AUUGAACGCUGGCGGCAUGCCUUACACAUGCAAGUCGAACGAGUGGCGAACGGGUGAGUAAUGCAUCGGAACGUACCCGGGAGAGGGGGAUAACCGGCCGAAAGGCUGGCUAAUACCGCAUGCUCUCGGAGCGGCCGAUGUCCGAUUGGCUAGUUGGUGGGGUAAAGGCCCACCAAGGCGACGAUCGGUAGCGGGUCUGAGAGGACGAUCCGCCACACGGGGACUGAGACACGGCCCAGACUCCUACGGGAGGCAGCAGUGGGGAAUCUUGGACAAUGGGCGCAAGCCUGAUCCAGCAAUGCCGCGUGGGUGAAGAAGGCCUUCGGGUUGUAAAGCCCUUGCGGCGGGGAAGCGGUACCCGCAGAAGAAGCACCGGCUAACUACGUGCCAGCCGCCGCGGUAAUUC
rnacentral:rRNA from 1 species